rnacentral:rRNA from 1 species
GAUGAACGCUGGCGGCGUGCCUAAUACAUGCAAGUCGAGCGAACAGAUGAGGAGCUUGCUCCUCUGACGUUAGCGGCGGACGGGUGAGUAACACGUGGAUAACCUACCUAUAAGACUGGGAUAACUUCGGGAAACCGGAGCUAAUACCGGAUAAUAUAUUGAACCGCAUGGUUCAAUAGUGAAAGACGGUUUUGCUGUCACUCAUAGAUGGAUCCGCGCCGCAUUAGCUAGUUGGUAAGGUAACGGCUUACCAAGGCAACGAUGCGUAGCCGACCUGAGAGGGUGAUCGGCCACACUGGAACUGAGACACGGUCCAGACUCCUACGGGAGGCAGCAGUAGGGAAUCUACCGCAAUGGGCGAAAGCCUGACGGAGCAACGCCGCGUGAGUGAUGAAGGUCUUCGGAUCGUAAAACUCUGUUAUUAGGGAAGAACAAAUGUGUAAGUAACUAUGCACGUCUUGACGGUACCUAAUCAGAAAGCCACGGCUAACUACGUG